rnacentral:rRNA from 1 species
AGAGUUUGAUCCUGGCUCAGGAUGAACCCCUUGUGGUGUGCCUAAUACAUGCAAGUCGUACGCACUGGCCCAACUGAUUGAUGGUGCUUGCACCUGAUUGACGAUCGAUCACCAGUGAGUGGCGGACGGGUGAGUAACACGUAGGUAACCUGCCUCGGAGCGGGGGAUAACAUUUGGAAACAGAUGCUAAUACCGCAUAACAACAAAAGCCACAUGGCUUUUGUUUGAAAGAUGGCUUUGGCUAUCACUCUGGGAUGGACCUGCGGUGCAUUAGCUAGUUGGUAAGGUAACGGCUUACCAAGGCAAUGAUGCAUAGCCGAGUUGAGAGACUGAUCGGCCACAAUGGAACUGAGACACGGUCCAUACUCCUACGGGAGGCAGCAGUAGGGAAUCUUCCACAAUGGGCGCAAGCCUGAUGGAGCAACACCGCGUGAGUGAAGAAGGGUUUCGGCUCGUAAAGCUCUGUUGUUGGAGAAGAACGUGCGUGAGAGUAACUGUUCACGCAGUGACGGUAUCCAACCAGAAAGUCACGGCUAACUACGUGCCAGCAGCCGCGGUAAUACGUAGGUGGCAAGCGUUAUCCGGAUUUAUUGGGCGUAAAGCGAGCGCAGGCGGUUGCUUAGGUCUGAUGUGAAAGCCUUCGGCUUAACCGAAGAAGUGCAUCGGAAACCGGGCGACUUGAGUGCAGAAGAGGACAGUGGAACUCCAUGUGUAGCGGUGGAAUGCGUAGAUAUAUGGAAGAACACCAGUGGCGAAGGCGGCUGUCUGGUCUGCAACUGACGCUGAGGCUCGAAAGCAUGGGUAGCGAACAGGAUUAGAUACCCUGGUAGUCCAUGCCGUAAACGAUGACUGCAAGGUGUUGGAGGGUUUCCGCCCUUCAGUGCCGGAGCUAAGCCAUUAAGCACUCCGCCUGGGGAGUACGACCGCAAGGUUGAAACUCAAAGGAAUUGACGGGGGCCCGCACAAGCGGUGGAGCAUGUGGUUUAAUUUGAAGCUACGCGAAGAACCUUACCAGGUCUUGACAUCUUGCGCUAACCUUAGAGAUAAGGCGUUCCCUUCGGGGACGCAAUGACAGGUGGUGCAUGGUCGUCGUCAGCUCGUGUCGUGAGAUGUUGGGUUAAGUCCCGCAACGAGCGCAACCCUUGUUACUAGUUGCCAGCAUUAAGUUGGGCACUCUAGUGAGACUGCCGGUGACAAACCGGAGGAAGGUGGGGACGACGUCAGAUCAUCAUGCCCCUUAUGACCUGGGCUACACACGUGCUACAAUGGACGGUACAACGAGUCGCAAGCUCGCGAGAGUAAGCUAAUCUCUUAAAGCCGUUCUCAGUUCGGACUGUAGGCUGCAACUCGCCUACACGAAGUCGGAAUCGCUAGUAAUCGCGGAUCAGCAUGCCGCGGUGAAUACGUUCCCGGGCCUUGCACACACCAACGGUCA